rnacentral:lncRNA from 1 species
GGGAUUACAGGUGUGUGCCACCACACUCGGCUAAUUUUUGUAUUUUUAGGAGAGAUGGGGUUUCACAACGUUGGCUAGGCUGUUCUUGAACUCCUGGCCUCAACCUGCCUUGGCAUCCUAAAGUGCUGGGAUUACAGGCAUGGGCCACCGUGUCCAGCCAACAAACCUUUUUUUCAGUGAGUGAUUCCAGCCCUUGAUGCAUAGGAGGAUGGGGUCCAUAGGAGUGUAGCCUUAACAGAUGAAUUAAAUCUCUGGGUGAUGUGAGAUAUGUGCCAGGUUCUUGGCUUGUGUCUCCCUCUAACUUCAGGAACUUCCCAACUAGAUGGAGGCAGUAAAAAUGGGCCCUGCCAGGAUGUACCUAUAACAGAGAC